CUCGUCCGCCCCGUGGACGCCCUGAACAUCAGGGCCCGGCCCCCGCUACGCUUGCGGCGUGCACCGUCCCCGGACAGCUCCGCGCCGAGCGCGCGCAGCCGCCCGGGGAAGACGCAAAGCCGACAGCCGUCGCACCUAAGGGAGCCCCUUCAUG
rnacentral:sRNA from 14 species